rnacentral:hammerhead_ribozyme from 1 species
AGUCAACUGACGAGUCCCAAAUAGAACGAAAUGCUCGUUAUCCUGGAU